CUCAUCACACUCCUGGAUUAACUUUUAUAUAAAUUACUAAAACUCUCUCUCUCUCUCUCAUUCUCUCUCUCUCUCUCUCUCUCUCUCUCUCUCUCUCUCCCCCCCCCCCUUUCUCUCUCUCUCUCUUAUCUCAGAAGAACAAAACAUGUGAUUCUGCUAUUGAAUAUGAAGCUGGCCAAAGAAAAAUGCAGUGCUAUAAUCUUCAUGCCUUCCUUUAAAACCAAAGAAGUUUGUAUUUUGUGGCCAAUAAGGAACUGGAGCUAACACUCUCACCGACUUCCCUGGGAAUCAUCUCCUCCCCCCAGGGUUCUGUGUUCUCAUAAAUACUUGCCUCUGCAGCAAGAGCCAGAGAAGAGAAGUGCGCACAGCACCUCACCCUCCAGCGGACACUGGUAACUGGAGGCAUACCGUCGGCGGUAACAGGACCUCAGACAGACUCGGCUAGAGGUGUUACCGUACAGCGGUCUGAACUUUGGGAAGGCAAAUCCCACAGAAUGCAUCCACACUGCCACCAGACUUCUGCUGCAGAGAAGGAAGCUGCAGGAUGCAUAUAGUUUGCUUCACACCCACAAAAGGAGACUGCCGUUCCUUUAGUCUCUGCUCUUCCUUCACUCGUGCUUUGCUCUCUCCUGCUAGCGCUCAGUGGGUUGGCCAGCUUGUUGGGAGGCCUGACUUUGGCAGCCACCCAAACCCAGUCCUCCCAGCAGUAACACAUGCUCUGUCUGCCUGGGAAGAUUUGGUAGACAAUGGCUGCAGUGAUGGUACAAAAAUGGAAAGAGCUGCUGUGAAGGCCCUUAACUCCGUCCUGUAA
ensembl:lncRNA